GACGAACGCUGGCGGCGUGCUUAACACAUGCCAGUCGAACGGAAAGGCCCUGCUUGCCGGGUACUCGAGUGGCGAACGGGUGAGUAACACGUGGGUGAUCUGCCCUGCACUUCGGGAUAAGCCUGGGAAACUGGGUCUAAUACCGGAUAGGAGCCAUUUUUAGUGUGAUGGUUGGAAAGUUUUUUCGGUGUAGGAUGAGCUCGCGGCCUAUCAGCUUGUUGGUGGGGUAAUGGCCUACCAAGGCGGCGACGGGUAGCCGGCCUGAGAGGGUGGACGGCCACAUUGGGACUGAGAUACGGCCCAGACUCCUACGGGAGGCAGCAGUGGGGAAUAUUGCACAAUGGGCGCAAGCCUGAUGCAGCGACGCCGCGUGGGGGAUGACGGCCUUCGGGUUGUAAACUCCUUUCGCUAGGGACGAAGCUUUUUGUGACGGUACCUAGAGAAGAAGCACCGGCUAACUACGUG
rnacentral:rRNA from 1 species